ACUGCCCCGACCUCCCGCCCCAGGUUCCACGCGCUCUGAUGCCCGCCCCGCUCACCCAGAGAAGCCCUGGGCCAGACGUCCACAACCCAAGGGGUUAUGGGGAGGCCUCUGCUCCCUGGACACAGUAGUUCUCAAACUGGACAGUGUCAAUCAGCAUCCUCCGGGAGGUCUGGGGUGGCCCCGGAAAUACAUGUGUCCCACCUAUCCCAGCAGGUAAUGAUGAAACUCCUGCUCUGGUCCGGGCUACCGGUGAACAGCGCCCAGCGGGCCGGGCCCCCAACCUCGCUCCUGAGCCUGAACAUCCCCCCAACCCCACCGUGAGAAUUCAGCGAAGAGUAAAAGCUGGAAAAAGUUGCGUGUCUUAGGCUAAGCAGAACAAAGUGGGGUGACGGCUCCCCGGCUAGGAACAGAGAUGCCCUUAGGGAGCCCUCUGAUGGAAGAGCUCUCCGCUUAAGAAGGUCACCACUCCCUUACACUCAGCCCCCCUCAAUCUGAUUCCCUGCUAUGCCUGCCAUCACCACUGGCCAGUUUUACCACAUGCUUCUCAAGACCCAAGGCACAAUAGGCAUAAAGUUGUCCUGAAAAGGACAAGAGGAGUGUCAGAAGUAGGAAUGGCAGUUGAAGGAGCUUCGUCUGCCAGCAGAAAGCUGAAAUGACAGGAAGACAGAAUGUCUUGUCAAGGGUCACCCCAGGAGGAGGAGUAAAUUCCCCAAAAAGCGGAACAUAUUUUUAUGAUUUAAUUAAUACAAUUUCUCUCAAUG
rnacentral:lncRNA from 1 species